CCUUUAAGUAGAUAGCUCCCUAAUACCAUGGGAAGUUAUCUACUUAUUCAUUCCUGUCAUUACAUGACUGGCUAAGUAACUUACAUUUUAUAUGAAUGUGUGUUACUUGAAUGUUGUAAGUGUUGCAAAUGCUUACAGCUGAAUCCUGGCUAUGUUUGUAUACUUUUAAUUUAAAAUUGUAUACAGUGUAACAUUCUUCUUCUUCCACUGGGUAAGUAUAUUAGUACUUAGGCAAAACUGUGCUUCGGAACUUUGUCAAUUCAGCACUUCGGCAACUUCGGC